UACGGAGGGUGCAAGCGUUAAUCGGAAUUACUGGGCGUAAAGCGCGCGUAGGCGGCUGGGUAAGUCGAUUGUGAAAUCCCCGGGCUCAACCUGGGAAUUGCAGUCGAGACUGCCCGGCUAGAGUGUGGGAGAGGGUGGUGGAAUUCCCGGUGUAGCGGUGAAAUGCGUAGAUAUCGGGAGGAACAUCAGUGGCGAAGGCGGUUCUCUGGGCCUGUUCUGACGCUGAGGAGCGAAAGCGUGGGGAGCGAACAGG
rnacentral:rRNA from 1 species